rnacentral:rRNA from 1 species
ACGGGGUGCAGCAGGCGCGAAACCUCCUCAAUGCACUAACGUGCGAAGGGGUUACCUCGAGUGCCACCUGAAAAAGGUGGCUUUUCCUUGGUCUAAAAAGCCUCGGGAAUAAGAGGGGGGCAAGACUGGUGUCAGCCGCCGCGGUAACACCAGCCCCUCGAGUGGUGGGGAUGAUUAUUUGGCCUAAAGCGUCCGUAGCCGGCCGUAUAAGUUUCCCGUUAAAUCCAACGUCUCAAGCGUUGGACUGCGGGAAAUACUGUACGGCUAGAGAGUGGGAGAGGUCAGCGGUAUUCUGGGGGUAGGGGCGAAAUCCUUUGAUCCCCGGAGGACCACCAGUGGCGAAGGCUGCUGACUAGAACACGUCUGACGGUCAGGGACGAAAGCUGGGGUAGCGAACCGGAUUAGAUACCCGGGUAGUCCCAGCCGUAAACGAUGCAUGCUUGGUGUUGGGUUGGCCACGAGCCACCCCAGUGCCGCAGGGAAGCCGUUAACCAUGCCGCCUGGGA